rnacentral:rRNA from 1 species
UAAGGAAUAUUGGACAAUGGAGGCAACUCUGAUCCAGCCAUGCCGCGUGAAGGAAUAAGGCCCUAUGGGUUGUAAACUUCUUUUAGACGGGACAAAACCCCUUUACGUGUAAAGGGUUGAUGGUACUGUCAGAAUAAGCAUCGGCUAACUUCGUGCCAGCAGCCGCGGUAAUACGAAGGAUGCAAGCGUUAUCCGGAAUUAUUGGGUUUAAAGGGUGCGUAGGCGGACUAAUAAGUCAGUGGUGAGAGCCUGCAGCUUAACUGCAGAAUUGCCAUUGAUACUGUUAGUCUUGAGUACAGUUGAGGUAGGCGGAAUGUGUCAUGUAGCGGUGAAAUGCUUAGAUAUGACACAGAACACCGAUUGCGAAGGCAGCUUGCUAAGCUGUAACUGACGCUGAGGCACGAAAGCGUGGGGAGCAAACA